rnacentral:rRNA from 1 species
ACUCCUACGGGAGGCAGCAGUGGGGAAUUUUGCACAAUGGGGGAAACCCUGAUGCAGCGACGCCGCGUGAUUUAGAAGGCCUUCGGGUUGUAAAAAUCUUUUGUAUAGGAAGAAAAUGACAGUACUAUACGAAUAAGGUCCGGCUAAUUACGUGCCAGCAGCCGCGGUAAUACGUAAGGACCGAGCGUUGUCCGGAAUCAUUGGGCGUAAAGGGUACGUAGGCGGGUCAUUAAGUUAGAAGUCAAAGGCUAUAGCUCAACUAUAGUAAGCUUCUAAAACUGGAGACCUUGAGUAAUGGAAGGGAAAGUGGAAUUCCUAGUGUAGCGGUGGAAUGCGCAGAUAUUAGGAGGAAUACCGGUGGCGAAGGCGACUUUCUGGCCAUUAACUGACGCUGAGGUACGAAAGCGUGGGUAGCAAACAGGAUUAGAUACCCUGGUAGCUACGAG